GAUGAACGCUGGCGGCGUGCUUAACACAUGCAAGUCGAACGGAAAGGCCAGUGCUUGCACUGGUACUCGAGUGGCGAACGGGUGAGUAACACGUGGGUGAUCUGCCCUGUACUUCGGGAUAAGCUUGGGAAACUGGGUCUAAUACCGGAUAGGACAACUUUUUGGAUAUUGUUGUGGAAAGCUUUUGCGGUAUGGGAUGAGCUCGCGGCCUAUCAGCUUGUUGGUGGGGUAAUGGCCUACCAAGGCGUCGACGGGUAGCCGGCCUGAGAGGGUGUACGGCCACAUUGGGACUGAGAUACGGCCCAGACUCCUACGGGAGGCAGCAGUGGGGAAUAUUGCACAAUGGGCGCAAGCCUGUUGCAGCGACGCCGCGUGGGGGAUGAAGGCCUUCGGGUUGUAAACUCCUUUCGCUAGGGACGAAGCGCAUGUGACGGUACCUGGAGAAGAAGCACCGGCUAACUACGUG
rnacentral:rRNA from 1 species